GCCCUUCCUAACGCCACAGCCCCUUAAUACAGCUCCUCAUGCUGUGGUGACCCCCAACCAUAACAUUAUUUUCGUUGCUACUUCAUAACUGCAAUGUUGCCACUGUUAUGAAUGGUCGUGUAAAUAUCUGAUAUAGCUAUAUGGGUUUU